UGCAGAAUCCCGUGAACCAUCGAGUCUUUGAACGCAAGUUGCGCCCAAGGCCAUUAGGCUGAGGGCACGUCUGCCUGGGCGUCAUGC
rnacentral:rRNA from 1 species